AUUGAACGCUGGCGGCAGGCCUAACACAUGCAAGUCGAGCGGAUGAUGGGAGCUUGCUCCCGGAUUCAGCGGCGGACGGGUGAGUAAUGCCUAGGAAUCUGCCUGGUAGUGGGGGACAACGUCUCGAAAGGGACGCUAAUACCGCAUACGUCCUACGGGAGAAAGCCGGGGACCUUCGGGCCUUGCGCUAUCAGAUGAGCCUAGGUCGGAGUAGCUAGUUGGUGAGGUAAUGGCUCACCAAGGCGACGAUCCGUAACUGGUCUGAGAGGAUGAUCAGUCACACUGGAACUGAGACACGGCCCAGACUCCUACGGGAGGCAGCAGUGGGGAAUAUUGGACAAUGGGCGAAAGCCUGAUCCAGCCAUGCCGCGUGUGUGAAGAAGGUCUUCGGAUUGUAAAGCACUUUAAGUUGGGAGGAAGGGUUGUACGUUAAUACCGUGCAAUUUUGACGUUACCGACAGAAUAAGCACCGGCUAACUCUGUGCCAGCAGCCGCGGUAACAC
rnacentral:rRNA from 1 species